AUUGCACGCUGGCGGCAGGCUUAACCCAUGCAAGUCGAACGAGUGGCGGACGGGUGAGUAAUGCUUGGGAAUCUGGCUUAUAGAUGGGGAUCACGACGGGAAACUGUCGCUAAUACCGCGUACCAUAGGAUGAGCCCAAGUGGGAUUAGGUAUUUGGUGGGGUAAUGGCCUACCAGGCCGACGAUCUCUAGCUGGUAUGAGAGGAUGACCGGCCAAACCGGGACGGAGACACGGCCCGGACUCCUACGGGAGGCAGAAGUGGGGAAUAUUGCGAAAUGGGGGCAACCUGACGCAGCCAUGCCGCGUGAAGGAAGAAGGCCUUCGGGUUGUAAAGUUCUUUCGGUGACGAGGCGUUAAUCACAGAAGAAGCACCGGCUAACUCCGUGCCAGCAGCCGCGGUAAUUC
rnacentral:rRNA from 1 species